GGUAGCCAUGUCUGGCAGAGAUAACCGCUGAAAGCAUCUAAGUGGGAAACUCGCCCUAAGAUUAGAUCCCUGUAUUCCCAUAAGGGAGUAAGACCCCAGGUAGACUACCUGGUAUAUAGGCAGUGUGUGUAAGCGCAGUAAUGUGUUGAGCUAAACUGUACUAAUGGUCGAGGGCUUCCUCCU
rnacentral:ncRNA from 1 species